AACCAUUGGAUCAAGUAAGGAGUUGAAAAACCCCUAGGUUUCACUCACUCGCACCCCUCUCACAACUUCGAUCAUCUGUCGCCUUCUCCAUCACAGCCGGCGUCCCUCAUUCUCUUCCUCUACCCGAUUGGGAGAGGACAGGCUCCCUUUUCCGCCUCCAUCUCAUCUACAGCCGACGCUAACGCACACAAUAGGAGCUUCAUCCCAGAAUCCGUAGGCCAUCUCAUCUCUUCUACCAUCUUCCUCGUCGUUGACUGCAAGGUCUUCUCACAAAUCUUCCAGAUCUGAAAGCCAUCUCACGAUGCCUUCAUCUUUAGCCCACAGCUUCUUCCAAUUGGGAGAGGCGCCACCACCGAACUCUACAUCACCCUCUCCUAAUUAGUAGAGGUUUCUUCGCCACCACUAGUUUCCUUCCACCUCUCCAUUUCGGAUUUGAAGAUUAAAGCUUCAUCACUAGCCAGCAGCCCCUCUCCUCUUCGGAUUUGAAGAGGAGAGUUCAUCCAUCCUUCAACAUCCCCUUUAUCUUUAGAUUCGAAGAAAAGGUUUCAUUCUCCAUCGACGAGCAGCCAUCCACUUCGUCCACAGCCUUCGCCGAUAGAUUGGCCAUCAAAGAAGCUCCAUCCAGCAGCCCCCUCCCCAAAGAGGAGAGUUCUAUUCCGAUCCAUGCCUACGACAUUGGGUUAUUUCUAUCUAUGUUGAAUUGUGUUAUUCUUGUUGAUUGUUGAAUUGUAACGUAGCUAUUCUCCCAUGUUUAGAAUUGCAUGUAUUUUUCUUAAUUGAAUUCUCGCUCGUUAUGUGUUUGAUGAAAUGCCUCUUUCAUUAGUUAGUUUCUAAACUUGCAUCUUCUUUGGUUUGAAUUCUUAUGAUAAUUAGUUAGUUGAAUGUUUUAGGUUAGAUUAGAUUAGAUUAGUUGAAUUUUGACAAAUUUAUUCAUGUGGAAGUUUAUUUCUAAUAUUUCCUAAAUUUUUGCGACUCAAAUUUAUUCAACUUGUCCAUUACCUUGUCUAUAAACUAUGCACUUCCAGAAUCAUAAACUAUGCACUUCCAGAAUCUUAUUGAAGCUUGUUAUUGGGUCGGUCUUGAAGCUAUAUUAUGUUAUUUUGGAAAGUUUCUUGAAACAUAAUCCAUUCAAAGAAAUUUGGAACUCAGGAAGUGUGGACUUCCAUUGCACUUUAUCCAUACCUAUGUUUUCUCUUUAACAUCCUUGCAUCUGCUUAUGGUUUAGUCACUUUAUUGCUAUUCACUUUGUCCAUUCGAAGGAUUUAACUCAAAUUCUAUAAGAUAAUUUGUUGCCUGUUUUCCCUCAGUUUGCUUGCUCGACGCACAUAACACAACUAGAUAUGUGUUCCAUUCUAAAAGUUUUCUAUAGUUUAUGAUUGGCUUCUAUAUCAAUGUAUAAUUUAACCAUAUAAGAACUAGUGUGUUUAUGGUCAACAUGGUUAUCCAUUAGUAUAACUCAUUACAUGUAUUAGAUGUUCUAAAGAGAUUUUAAAAGUCGAGUUUGGAUUCUUAGUUGUUAAUUUGGGUGCUGAAUAUUUGACCCUAACCCAAGCAAGUUUAUCCCAGGGCUUUCAUUUUUUUUCCUUCGCUUUGUAUUUUGGUUUUAAGGACUUCUAUCAAAUUGACUCAUUUUGCUCUAAUAUGUUUCAGAAUUUGGCUCUCUUUGGCACACUAUUGUUCUUGGAACUGGAGACCUUCGAACCUUUCCAAAGUGGCACAAGGUUUGUUCUGCCUUGGUGCAACUUAUAGAAGUUCGACCAUCAUUCCUAGAGUGCCUUUUCAGAUAUUUUGAAGGUGAAUGGAGGUAUUAAAAAAUCCAGCUAAAUAGCUCAAGUAUGGAUGAUUACAGGAGCAACAACUACAUGCUAUGUGGAACUACAUCCGAACCUCAUAUGUGACUGGGAAGUACUUCGACGAAGAACUAUCAAGAAGGCUUUGGGAUUUAAGUGAGAAGAUGGUUAAAGUCAAUGAGUAAAGAACAUUUAAUUCAAGAGGAUAAGUAGCAUCUAUAAAGAUCCUUUAAGUUCAUGCAAUAAGAUGUAGACGAUAGAAGUAGUUUUCAGUGUCUCAAAUUAAAAUUUCUUUGUAUGCAAUUAAUUAUGCUUGUUAUAAAGUGUAUGGAUGAUAAUUUAUAUAUUUAUCUUGGUUGUUUAUUUAAUAAUA